UACGGAGGAUGCAAGCGUUAUCCGGAUUUAUUGGGCGUAAAGCGUCCGCAGGUGGUUUUCCAAGUCUGCUGUUAAAGCGCGAGGCUUAACCUCGUACAGGCAGUGGAAACUGGAUGACUAGAGUAUGGUAGGGGUAGCGGGAAUUCCCAGUGUAGCGGUGAAAUGCGUAGAUAUUGGGAAGAACACCAGCGGCGAAAGCGCACUACUGGGCCAUUACUGACACUCAUGGACGAAAGCUAGGGGAGCGAAAGGG
rnacentral:rRNA from 1 species